CAGGCAGGUAGUGGCUGAUCAAAAGGAGGUGUUGAGAGCAAUACAUAGGCCAAACCUAAAACAGUCUACGCUAAAGGAUGACAUACAUAGAUCCCAGAUUAAAAUCCAAGAACACAGAAAAAUAGCAUUAAGUGAACAUAUCAACAUUUACAUCACUAACG